AUGGCGCUGCCCGGGCCUGCAUCGUGUGUGGGCCAGGAACCCCCGCCUUCCUCAGAGCCCAGGGUGACAAGAAUAACUAAGAUGACAUAAAAAAUAUAGAUUGCAGCAACUUAUGCAAAUGCGGACAUGUGAGCUGGCUGGCACCAUCCUGUCUGUGCAGUCAAGAAAUUUGAGGCUCAGAGACUUGACUGAGGUCACAGAGCCAGUCAGCAGCCGAAGUGGGACCGAACCAGACAUUCGCACUCUUGGCUCAAAACUCUUCCCAUCACAGCACACUAGUUUCAAAUUUAGGGGGAGUAAAGUAAAAAUUUUUGGUGUCAGUGGUGUGGACCAUUUUGUGUGGUUCCUUGAGAUGUGUAACAGCGCUGGUGUGGCCGAAUUUGCCCUGGGAUAGCCUGCUGGUCCCAGGGGCACUGGCCUCUCGGGCUUGAAAACGCUGUUUUUCACCUUUUUUCUUCUCUGCAGAGAGAGAAACCGAGGCAGCUCUAGAUCAGCGUUCUGCGGCUGUUUCUGGAUCUGAUACCAGUUUGGACAGUGGCCAUGGCAAGCUGUGUCUCCCCGGCCGUGGAGGGGUCUGUGUUCUGUGACUGGCAGUGUCCCCCACUAAGAGCAGGCUCUGGCUUGAAGGCCCACUGAAACUUCUAGAACCCAGGCCACCCCUUUCUCUGGAGGUGUUGACGUCAUCUGCUCCACGGCCGCGUGCCCCCCGAAUGGAAGAGGGGGCAGCCCGCUCCCCCGAGAGUACCAGCUUACACUGAACACAGAGACCAUGUCUGGACAAGGAAGCCAAAGACGACACCUAUCAUUGGAGCAACAUUCCGUGGUCCUCAAAGAUGAUGGCUUUUCAGUUCCCCACAGCUCAGCAAGAGGGCCCCUCACUGCGCAACAGACCUUUCUGGGCCACUGGUCAUGCCGGGGAUGAUUCCAAAAUAGAAAAGAUUUUUGGAGCUCCGAUCCCGACCCCCACAUCCCCAGUCCCUUUUGGACUAGACAGUCUUGGGACCUCAUCACGUCCUUUCAUCUGUGACUAGACAAGGGCUAGGGGGAUGGGUCAGUGUGGGAAGGGGGUCGACAAGAAGGCGGUCGCUGGCCAGGCCCCACAGCCUCCUGGAGAUGCAGCGGUGGGAAGCGCAGUGCUUCGUGUGUCCGCCGAGGCAGAGCAGGGGCGGAGGCAGGUGAUGGGAGGUGAAGCUGGGAGCAGAGCCUUCCCUGGCAUAGUGAUUCCUGAUGGCGCCAUGGAGGAACCGCUGGCCAUAGCAGUCCAUCUGGGGGAGGGCAUCUCCACCCUCCAAUCAUCUUCGGUGCAGAGAAAGGUAGCUGAGUGGGGCUGCGUGGCUGGGGUGCUACUUGCACUGACCAUGCUGGUCUCCACUCAGCUCUGGUCCCAGGGGCCCGCCUUUGGCAGGUGGCUGGUGGAGGCCACAGAGGAGCUGAGUGGGUACGUAGUGUGGCUUGGGAGUAUUUCAGCACGGUGGGAGGGUGCUCGGAAGGCGAAUGGCCUUGGGAUCUCGCCUCUGAAAUCUACCAGCAUUUUGGCACUCCUUUCACUUGCUGCGUUAUACAGGGUAACAGUAGCAGCCAUAACAAAGAAGCCCUCCAGCUUCAGAGCCUUCACACUGAUGUCUGCAUCCCGUUCGGAUCCGGGACUGACCAUCCUCAGGUGGUGAUGCAGAAACCCAGGCUCCUUCCAGCUUGUGGCUCUGCUGUCCCCUAGGACCUUGGAGAGCUCUGUGUGGAAGGUGAGAGAAAGUGCGGCUUAUGUUAGCCUGAAGUGACACCCACAUUUCACUGAGCGGAGGGCAGAGAAAUGUAAUCCCAGUGAGAACUUUGUGCUGUGGCCAGGAGGGCGUGUGUGGUGAUGGACAGUUAGUUUCUUGGUCAUGAUCAUGGGGUAAACUUCUAAAGCUUUGAUUUCCUUAUACGUAAAUAAAAAUUGAGCCUAUGUCCGAGAGUCACCGCGAGGAUGAGAGCUCACACGUGUGAUGUGGCUAAGGUUGUGCCUGACAUGGACCAGGCACUCCUGCGACUACAGCCAGCAGGGGAGGGGCUGUUUCAUUGGCCAGAGCCACGGGGGGAGGGGGGUCCAGGCUCAUGAGCACCCCAGCUACUGCAAGGGCUCCCUGUCCAUCCUGUUCUUCUGCACGAAGAGGUUCCAUCCAUAAGAUGGUUAUGCAGUGCGCAUUCCAGAUCAUGAUUAUUAGGUAAAUGUGAGUCUAUGUCAUAAUGCUUACUCGGUAAUAUGUAUUAUGCAUGGUGAUUAUUUUGUAAAUGUAAG